AUUGAACGCUGGCGGCAUGCCUUACACAUGCAAGUCGAACGGCAGCACGGGUGCUUGCACCUGGUGGCGAGUGGCGAACGGGUGAGUAAUACAUCGGAACAUGUCCUGUAGUGGGGGAUAGCCCGGCGAAAGCCGGAUUAAUACCGCAUACGAUCUACGGAUGAAAGCGGGGGACCUUCGGGCCUCGCGCUAUAGGGUUGGCCGAUGGCUGAUUAGCUAGUUGGUGGGGUAAAGGCCUACCAAGGCGACGAUCAGUAGCUGGUCUGAGAGGACGACCAGCCACACUGGGACUGAGACACGGCCCAGACUCCUACGGGAGGCAGCAGUGGGGAAUUUUGGACAAUGGGCGAAAGCCUGAUCCAGCAAUGCCGCGUGUGUGAAGAAGGCCUUCGGGUUGUAAAGCACUUUUGCCCGGAAAGAAAUCCUUGGCCCUAAUACGGUCGGGGGAUGACGGUACCGGAAGAAUAAGCACCGGCUAACUACGUG
rnacentral:rRNA from 1 species